rnacentral:rRNA from 1 species
CACGUAGGGUGCAAGCGUUGUCCGGAAUUAUUGGGCGUAAAGAGCUCGUAGGCGGUUUGUCGCGUCUGCUGUGAAAACUCGGGGCUUAACCCCGGGCCUGCAGUGGGUACGGGCAGACUAGAGUGCGGUAGGGGAGACUGGAAUUCCUGGUGUAGCGGUGAAAUGCGCAGAUAUCAGGAGGAACACCGGUGGCGAAGGCGGCAUCCUGGACCGGCAUUGACGCUGAGGGAGCGAAAGCCAGGGGAGCAAACGGG